GACGAACGCUGGCGGCGUGCUUAACACAUGCAAGUCGAACGGAAAGGCCCUGCUUUCGUGGGGUGCUCGAGUGGCGAACGGGUGAGUAACACGUGAGUAACCUGCCCUGGACUUUGGGAUAACUUCAGGAAACUGGGGCUAAUGCCGGAUAGGAGCUCCUGAUGCAUGGUGGGGGUUGGAAAGUUUCGGCGGUUGGGGAUGGACUCGCGGCUUAUCAGCUUGUUGGUGGGGUAGUGGCUUACCAAGGCUUUGACGGGUAGCCGGCCUGAGAGGGUGACCGGCCACAUUGGGACUGAGAUACGGCCCAGACUCCUACGGGAGGCAGCAGUGGGGAAUAUUGCACAAUGGGCGGAAGCCUGAUGCAGCAGCGCCGCGUGCGGGAUGACGGCCUUCGGGUUGUAAACCGCUUUCGCCUGUGACGAAGCGUGAGUGACGGUAAUGGGUAAAGAAGCACCGGCUAACUACGUG
rnacentral:rRNA from 1 species